rnacentral:rRNA from 1 species
GGUUUAAUUCGAUGCAACGCGAAGAACCUUACCUGGUCUUGACAUCCACAGAACUUUCCAGAGAUGGAUUGGUGCCUUCGGGAACUGUGAGACAGGUGCUGCAUGGCUGUCGUCAGCUCGUGUUGUGAAAUGUUGGGUUAAGUCCCGCAACGAGCGCAACCCUUAUCCUUUGUUGCCAGCGGUCCGGCCGGGAACUCAAAGGAGACUGCCAGUGAUAAACUGGAGGAAGGUGGGGAUGACGUCAAGUCAUCAUGGCCCUUACGACCAGGGCUACACACGUGCUACAAUGGCUCAUACAAAGAGAAGCGACCUCGCGAGAGCAAGCGGACCUCAUAAAGUGCGUCGUAGUCCGGAUUGGAGUCUGCAACUCGACUCCAUGAAGUCGGAAU